CUCGGAGCUGGGCUGCCCCCCCGUAAGUUCAGUACUUUUCUGCUGCCGUGGGAGAUUAACGUCUGUCCGCUGAAGCUAAGGCUGGUGGUACCUUCGACUUUACUGAUGUGAUUGUUAGUGAUGGUGGAGGUACGCGUCAUCCUGUUGUAGCCUGGAGGCGGGUGUUACGGAGCCAGGAAAUGGAAUUGACAACUGCUGCUGCUGACACACGACCAUGUUGUGACACAAGGAUAGAAACUUGCAGAAAAUUCUUUCUAUUGGUUGCUCCAUCUCAGGACCUGAAGGCUGCAACCUCUUCAUCUACCAUUUGCCGCAGGAGUUUGGUGAUGCUGAGUUGAUGCAGAUGUUCCUUCCCUUUGGAAAUGUGAUCUCCAAGGUGUUCAUUGAUAAAGCCACCAAUCAGGGGUUCAUGAGCUUAGACAACCCUGCCUCAGCUCGAGCAGUAAUCCAAGCAAUGAAUGGCUUUCC